rnacentral:misc_RNA from 1 species
GAUGAAGAACGCAGCAAAAUGCGAUACUUGGUGUGAAUUGCAGAAUCCCGUGAACCAUCGAGUUUUUGAACGCAAGUUGCGCCUCAAGCCAUUAGGUUGAGGGCACGUCUGCCUGGGCGUCACAUAUCGUUGCCUGAUGCCAGUUUCCUCGUGAUGGGUGACUGUGCAGGGCGAAUGAUGGCUUCCCGUGAGCAUUGUUGCCUCAUGGUUGGUUGAAAAUUGAGUCCUUGGUAGGGAGCGCCGUGAUAGAUGGUGGUUGAGUGACGAACGAGACCCAAUCAUGUGAGACCCCUACCGAAUUUGGCCUUCAUGACCCACAUGCGUCUUUGGAACGCUCAUGACGAGACCUCAGGUCAGGCGGGGCUACCCGCUGAGUUCAAGCAUAUCAAUAAGCGGAGGA